GGGGCCAUAGCUCAGUGGUAGAGCUCCUACCUUGCAUGUAUGAGGCCCUGGGUUUGAUCCUCAACUCCA
rnacentral:tRNA from 1 species